CAGUUUAUUUGGCUGUGUGCAGUAGAGGAAGAGCGUGACACGAGAUGCGCCCUGUAGCUAAGGCUUCAGUUUGCACCUUUGAACCCCACGGAUCUCCUGACCCCUCUGCAUCUAUCUUGAGUGCUGGGAUUACAGUUCUAGGAAAGAAACCACAAGACUGCUGAGACCUGGAAAGGGUGCCACUGUUGAAAAUUGGGAGAAAGAGAAGGUGUGGUCUUGGAAGGAUGACUCCAUCAUCUUGAAAGUUUAUCUCCCAACCACUUUCCAGAAGGACUCAUGGCUAUACCAGAAGGAAAAUGAGGAAAGGGGGCUUGUUUCUUUUCCUUGAUAAUACACACUUCCCACGGCCAACUUACAAAUUGAGACAAUGAAUUUUAUAAUAACAAAAGACGGUAAGAUGUAUUUCAUUAUUUUGGUACCAAGCAAAACUGGAAAGCAGGCACAUGGCAAUCCCUUUUCAAAGAGCAAAGAAAAGAGGAAGAAGAUUCCCAGAGUCAUUGUUACCAUCAUCAGCUUGGCUCAAAAAGAAACAUAGAGACGAGAUGUUUGAGGAGGUUUGACCAUGAGAUGAGAGGCAAAACUGUAAAUUAAUAUAAUAAGAAGCACAUUUUCAUAAAUGGUAAAACCAAUAAUCGUAUUGUAAAAUAUGUGACGAAUUAGCUGUGUGUACAAGGAUCAAAGCAAUGAUGUGAAUAGAAGUAGGCAAUAUACAGAAAUCUGGGGUUAACUCCAAAUGUAGAUCCAUUGAAGUAUUUGGAGGAUGCAGUUUGUUUUGUCUGUUUUGUUUUGUUUUGUAAUAAAGUAGUUUCAAAUAAACUGAUACUAAAAGAAGACGUGACUGACUCUAGUGAUUGACUGAUCCAGAAAGUCACGUGCCACUCCUUGGCUGUAGAUCUCCUUUACAAAAUUCAGAUUCAUGUCUCCCCGAGGAGCUGGAAAUAAAGAAGAUUAAAAAAGAAGUGAGAAUUAUAACCCUACAGAUCAAGGAAAGGGUAUUUCCAGUCAUAAAUAUGAGCGGGGGAAAUGUCAACGCUUGAAAUUAAAUAUAACUUUCCUAGUAAAUGUAAUAUGACAGUAAAUGUAAUAUAUCUACUGAUUAGGGGAACUUUAAAAAAAAAGAAAUCUGAGAAGGGCUAGAAAAAAAAUUAUCGGGUCAGUUACUGGUGCAAGAAAACAAAUCUCCAUAAAGUUAGCAUGUUAAAUCCACCACAGUGUUAUUGUUUCUCAUGAUUUGUACUUGUUAGGAACACAUUAGUAGUGUGACUUGGCAGACGUGUCUCCAAGAAGGUAGAGUUGUAGCACGUAGGGUCCAUCUAAGCUUUUCUCUCUUCUUGUAGGGUUGCACAGCUUUUCUUUUCAGUCUCAUAACAUGAGGAAAUGAGGCACUCCUCAGAGUGCAAUAAUCCCAAAGCUGUGUGUUGAGUCUCACCACAGGUCAAGACUUCAGAAUGGGACAAAAGUGAAGCCAAGUCUUCUUCUAUGUCCUUGCCUGAAAGGAUAUCCAAUGUCACUUCUGCCAAGAUUUGUUUGACGUACGUUCAACAGUGCUGGAAGCCUUUUGCAUUUCAAGAACAUGGGCUACAAUUCUUGAUGGAAGAAGAUGGCAAACGUGUGCGGGAAUGUCAGGUGGGGUAUUGUGCAGUGCAGUGGAAAGGUCGGAUGGGGUAGCAGGUAGCACUGAGAUCAACUUCAAAGGUACAGUCUACUGGAAACCUCCUGCUAGACUGUAGACUCGACUACAGCAGCGAUAAAGACAAUAGAACAAUCAUCGGAAGAAGAGUGUGUCUCGUUUAAUCCUACCUUCCCCUUCUAGUUUUCAAAACUGAGCUUCAGAUGGCUUUCUUAGCAUACUCAGGAGCCUGCUGCAAAUACCACAGCCAGAAGACACAGCUCUAUUUCCAAUUCCAGUUGCUUUCAGCCGCACUUGGCAUCCUCUUGAAACAAGUUCAUCACUGAAGUCUCAUGGUCAUGAAGAAAGGUCUAUUACCCAGCAGCACUUUUGAGUUGGAACUCAGCACUACACUCGUCUAAAAAAAAGAAGUGGGAAAUUGGAAAUGUUCAGCGCAGUCCUACAAGGUCUUUACCAGUUUGUAUCUUCUCUCUGCACUUCUACAUGGUGAAGUUUGCCUUUAUCAGCCUCGUUUCCCGUCCUAUAUCAGUUGCACCCUUUUUGGUUUAACUUCGAUUGGUCUAACCACAGCUUCUCUGACACUUAAUAGUUGGCCAACUCUCCAAUUUAAAGAAGAAAAUACCAUCAAGCGAGACUUCUUUCAAACUGGCUCCUUUCCGUAUCUGUGUGGACUUAAGCCUUUCUUUUCUCUUGUCACCCUGUCUCACAUGUGUCCAGAGAUAAGCCCCUCCCUUUGCACAUUGGAUUCCCACCCUCUUCCUGUCUGUUCUGAGAACUUUCAUUCUCAAUUAUAUCCACUUCUCUCACCUCAGACCUCUGUCUUCUGUUGGCUCUUCCCCUUCCUUCUAAAAACAAUUUUACAUUCCUUAUCCUAAAAAAAAUAAUCCCUCUCCAGUCUGCUCUCCACACACUUAAACUGUUUGCCUUCCCUGCUCCCCUUCAACUGGAAAAGGCUUAUCAAAACAGUUUACACUGGACAAAUUCACCCUGUUAUCUCCAACUGGCUCCAUGACUCAUUUUGGUCUGAUUUCAGCUUCCCAAUCUCUUCAAGUUGCUUUCUUAAAUGAACCAGUCCUGCGUCCAGCUCUGAAACCGGGGUGUAGGCAGCUGCAAACUCACCCCUUUCUGUAGAUGCCAUUCCCAUAGCAUUCUUCCCAGUUGGUAAUAGCUAGGAAUAAAGAGCUUAAUAGAUCAGUUCACCAGUUCUUAAUUAGAAGUAUUAAAUAGUGUAUCUUAAUGAAACACUUGGAACAGAAAGAAGAACAUGUACUUCUCUCUGAAGUGGCUUCCAGAGCGUACAUUGUGUUUAUAUUAAUCUCCACCUCUUCCACACAGUCAAGUAUUUUUCUCUUAAUGUAUGGUAAUGUCAAGUUCUGUCAGAGGGUAAGAAAUAGUAGGAAAAAUUGUAAUAGCUUAGUUUGUCCUAAACGUCUUUAGAAUUAACAGUUAUCUCCUGCUGCUGUUGGAUUAUCCAUCUACUUAUGGAAUGACACUUUUGUUGCUUCCAAGUUUUGUCAGUUAUGAAUAAGGCUCCAAUAAAAAAUAUUGUUAUGAAGGUUUUUA